AACGACUCUCGGCAACGGAUAUCUCGGCUCUCGCAUCGAUGAAGAACGUAGCGAAAUGCGAUACUUGGUGUGAAUUGCAGAAUCCCGUGAACCAUCGAGUCUUUGAACGCAAGUUGCGCCCGAAGCCUCGGCUGAGGGCACGUCUGCCUGGGCGU
rnacentral:rRNA from 1 species